UCAUGAUGACCCUAGAUGACGAGUCUUAUUCGGGAUCCCCGAUGCAGACAACCUUUUACUUUUCCAUUCAUGCUUUUCUGAAA
rnacentral:snoRNA from 1 species